GUACACUGAGAAAAAAGAUUACGUCUCACACGUAUAAAGUGUGGUAAGGUAGUUAUACACCAGUCACGUAUGCGUACUUACACACGACACGUAUUUCCAUACAUAGUCACUCUAUAAUAUACGAUGACUAAGGUAAGAAACAUGCCACUCGUAUUUUAUACAAGACGUAUGUAUAACAAUACGUAUCGUACGUUAGCACGCAUACGUGUCUGGCGUAUAACUUCCUUACCACACUUUAUACGUGUUAGACGUAAUCUUUUUUCUCAGUGUGUCUUCUAAAAAUAACC